GUAGUCUCGCACAGAUGCAUAUCAAUAAGCGGAGGAAAAGAAACUAACAAGGAUUCCCCUAGCAACGGCGAGUGAAGCGGGAAGAGCUCAAAUUUGAAAUCUUAAAGGGUUUCCCUUUACGAAUUGUAGUUUAAAGAAGUGUUUUCUGUUGAGGUUUUGGUAAAAGUUCUUUGGAAUAGGACAUCAUAGAGGGUGAGAAUCCCGUAUUUGACCUUUACUUUCAACUUUGUGAUACACUUUCAAAGAGUCGGAUUGUUUGGGAAUGCAGUCCAAAAUGGGUGGUAAAUUUCAUCUAAAGCUAAAUAUUGGCGAGAGACCGAUAGCGAACAAGUACCGUGAGGGAAAGAUGAAAAGAACUUUGAAAAGAGAGUUAAACAGUACGUGAAAUUGUCAAAAGGGAAGCGUUUGACACCAGUGUUGUUUUUCUGAAAAUCAAUUAAAGAACUGUUUAUGCUAAGUUGUUUAGACUUUAUCAGCUAACUGUUUAGUUUUGAGCUUUUCUUUAAUGCACUUUUCAGUUAACAAGUCAACAUCAAUUUCUUUUGCUGUAAAAAAGCUUGAGGAAGGUGGCUUGAGAUUCGUCUUAAGUGUUUAUAGCCUCUUGCCUAUGCAGUCGGAGAGAUUGAGGUCUGCAGCGUAGAUCCUUCGGGGCGAAAUGCAUUUGUGCUAAGUUAUAGCAUUUUAUAGACAACUUGUUGACUAUGAUUUGUCUUGUAGCUUACUCGCUUAUGUUAUUUUACCUACGCUUAGGAUGUUGAUGUGAUACUGCGAGCA
rnacentral:rRNA from 1 species